CGAUAUUCACAAGGUCAACGCGAGACUUCAGGAGUCACCGCCAUUUUGGAUCAGAAGAACCGCACGAAGUUGGAAACCGGUGACGAGAAAACUGCCUCAAAAUGCUGCCAGUCUUGAGAACUCUCCCCAGACUAGUCGGGACCAACGUUCGCCAGUCUGUCCGCCGCAUGGCCACAGAGUCAGGCACCCAGAACGGGAAUGGAAACAUCCUACUUCUGGUUGGAGUCAGCUCCCUGGUUGCAAGUGCAUCCUACAUCAUUUUCAGUGACGAGUUCUGGUUCAACGUGCCCCAGUACCCAGAUCCAGAGAGGGUCCGUCCCGACAAGCGAGACUGAGAAGACUGGACAUCUCUAGUUCAACUGGGUUGCUGUGGUCUUGGCUGUUGUUUCUGUAUACUAAGACAUGUCCUGUGUGCUGUAUUGUAGUGAUACAGAAAUAAUUGUACAAAUUGGAGUAAGAAAAUAAGUACAUAUGUCCACUUUUAACCUCUAUUGACUCUUGUCAAUGAGGUGAAAUAAACUUACCAAUAGAUCA